rnacentral:lncRNA from 1 species
AAAAGCCUUUAUCCGGUAAAGGAGUUAGAGGCUUUGGGCUUGAUAGUUCAGAAACAGACAAGCUUAGCCCCUCUGAGGAAGAGGAUUUAGAAGAUGAGGCAGCUCGCUAUGAAGAAGAAAGAUAUGGGCCUAGGUGGAGAGCCACUGUGAAGAAACCGAAAGUUAUGGAUCCUUCGUGGACAAGGCUGGUAAUUUUGUUUAUUUUUUUCUUUGUGUGGGAAGCCGUUACAGCCGUUAGAACAGGUCAGAGGGUCCUUGCAGAGCAACAAGAAAGUAUGUCGGAGGGAGAAAAGGUCUCAAAA